rnacentral:rRNA from 1 species
UACAGAGGUGGCAAGCGUUGUUCGGAAUUACUGGGCGUAAAGGGCGCGUAGGCGGCCAUCUAAGUCAGACGUGAAAUCCCUCGGCUUAACCGGGGAACUGCGUCUGAUACUGGAUGGCUAGAGGUUGGGAGAGGGAUGCGGAAUUCCAGGUGUAGCGGUGAAAUGCGUAGAUAUCUGGAGGAACACCGGUGGCGAAGGCGGCAUCCUGGACCAACACUGACGCUGAGUGAGCGAAAGCCAGGGGAGCAAACGGG